UUGCCACUGAGCCACCUGGGAAGCCCCAAAUUGUAUGUUGAGCAUCAGGACAGUGACAAAGAAAACCAUUUAUAGGUUACUCAUGCUACUACACAACUGGAAUCAAGCAAGAUGAUUUCAGAUACUUUUCUAAAUUUGCAUUUAUUUCCACGUUCAGCCUUUCAAAAGCCUUCUGAGAGAAUGGUACUCAUCAUUUGUGGCUUCUUCAGAAAUCAGGUUUACAUAAGUUUAAGCAAUAGGCACAUGAUGGAAAAUAAGAAAUAUUCUGGGAUUUCAUAACUUACCUGUUUUGUAAAUCUGGACAUUCACAAAGUGAUUUUAUUUUUCAUGAUUGGAAAACAACUGAUAGUAUACCAUUGCAAAAUGGCCAGAGUUCAUGCCUUUUAUCACCAACAUCCUCAAGUGCUGCAAAGGGUUGUAAGACAGAGUUCUGAAAAACUGAAUCUGGAAUUCAUAAUGAAUGGAAUAAGCCACAUUUAAAAAAAUUAUCUAGAAAAUAUAUUCUAUUUAACUUAUGGGAAAGCAGUUAAUUUUAUAAUCAGAAUGAAAGAGAAAAUUUACACUCCUCCACCUAAGAAAAAGAAUGUAUCCCCAAUUAACUACUUCUGAUGAAGACUGAAUAUUAAUUCACAUUAUUUGCUCUAAAUCUAUUUAUUUGGAAAAAAAUUGAUUAACAAUGUCAUUCACCUCACUUUCUGCUUUCUCUUUAAUUGUACAAUGUUGCCUUUGGAUUUGAAUAGUGAUGUUUUUAAGAAAGCCUCUAUCCAUAACAACAAAAAAGUCAAUCUUGAAAAAUUUUCAAUGAGUAAACAUAUACUUU